rnacentral:lncRNA from 1 species
AAAAAAAAAGCCAGCACCACAGCUUCCCAACAAAGCAGAGGCAAGAAAGCACUGUGGAGAUGUCUGGCAUCCUCCUUACAAAACAAUGUCUCAUUCCUGUGUCUUCUGCCCACAUCCUGACUCUUCUCCAUUUCUUGGCCUUCCACUAAAAAAUACUAAAGCUAAUACUCAAACGUAGCCCCUGGGUAUACUCAGACCCACAGAGGAAAUGGCACCAUUAGAGGUACCAAUUAACCUUCCUUGAAUGAAAUGGGUUCCAAGGUGGGACUUGUAUGUACCUACACAUGAAAACGAAAAGGUCAGAUAAUUGAAAGAUUCUUUCAAAUGUAGCCCUUACAAUAGAGUAGUAAUUGAUAUAAAAUUGUUCGGAACAAUGGAUUCAAAUCGUUUUUCAUCUUAAAAUCGUAUACUACCAGAAAGCAGAGAAGGGCAGCUUUUUCUACCACAGCGUUGGUAUGACUGUUGCAAUCGUCACAACUAGAGUUAGCUGCAUUUGACCCACACAAGACUAACACUAUCAACCAUCAGUCAACGGAGGUGGAGAAGCUCACAGGGCCCUAUCCUUCAUAUCUCAACCACUGGCUCCUAAUAUAUUCUGAGACAUGGGAUUAGUGUCUCUGGUUGUGGGCCCACUGCUGAGCCAUCAGGUUCCAAGAGAUUUUUCCCAACCCGUGGUCACACGGAUGUCCCUGGUUAAUCUCAGCAGAUCACCAAACAAAAUGAGUAUAUAGGAACAGGAAAGGGAUUCAGGAGAGCUCUGAACUGGGGUAGGAAGGAAGUGCAAGGUACGGGGAGUCACUGUGCAUUGUGUACGUGUGAAAAAAAAUGUCCAAGGACAAACCUAAUAAGUAAAAAUAAGUUUUAAUAUAUCAGAAAAUAAAAUAAUAAAAAUAGAAAAAUGCAGGGGACAUAGGGAAGGUUUCGGAUAUGACUCCGAAGCUCUCCAACUUUGUGGUAUGAUUCCUUUUUUAGGUAACCAUAGCUCUUAAUAUAGUCUAAGAUGAUUCCAGGUUAAGUUCGUCUUUCAAGCAUUAGUACUUUUCUACUGCUGUGCUAAAUUGUCGUGAGCAAACCAACUUAUGGAAGAAAAGUGUAUUGAUGUUCAUGGUUCCAGAAGGGUAUGGAUCUGGUGUGUCAGGGCAGCGUGGCAGCAAGCGUCUGCAUGGUAACUGUGUCAGGAAGAUCAGGGUAGCAGGGCAGCAAGCAUCUGUGUGGUGACUGGGAAGGGC